rnacentral:sRNA from 1 species
UUUGUUUAUCUACAGAACAGGUAUAGCACAGGCAACAGCUGUUUAAAAGUACCUCACCCACUAAUAUGCAUCAAGCCUGACCUCUGAAGAGUUCUUUAUAGUUUGUUUUCCAUCAAAGAGGUGGGGAA